UAUUCACCUCAUCCCUCCAUUGCACACAAAACUUCCCCCAAAUCAGAACUUCUGCCGCCUCACCCAGCUUCACACCUCGCGACGUCGACCAGCCAUCCCUCCGGCGCCACCAUCGCACCGCUGUCAGUGUGUUUUCCUCCACGUCGUCUCUCUCUUCACCGCACUGCCACCGCUGCCACGAAUUCGCCGUCGCGGAUCCGCCGCCAUCGGCUCCUCCCUCCAUCAUCUUCUCCUCUCCAUUCCUCUCUCUCGGCUCCCCCUCUCUCUUCUCUCUCUCUGAUAUGCCGCCACCGAUUGUGCAUGCACAAGCGGUGGCUUCGGCCUCCUCGCCUCGCCGUUGCUGCACACGGCGGCAACCCACCGCUGCUGCCCCCCUCUCCGUCGGUUCUCACCGUCGCCGUAUCGACAAAUUCAAAAGAAUGAAAACAUACAGACGGUUUUGGAGCGUGGGCUGUCACCGUCGGCGACGGAGUGCCGAGCUCGCUGCCGGAAGCCUCUCCGGUAGACUCCUAUGUCAUUUCAAGCUAAGUUCCUAUUAUCCUUUGAGGAUCUGUCAUUUUUAUGUUCUUGAGAUGCUAUAGCAACUAUGUUCUUGAGGUGUUAAAUUGCAUAUAUGCAAUAUGUUGUAAUAUGUGGAAAAAAAAGUGAGGUGUUGAUGGUACUCACCUCUGUGGUAUGAAGAAGAAAAUGACUUGUUGUUUUUGGACUUUUCCUCUAUGAUGUAGACGUCCUAUUCCCUACUAUGGUGGAAGGAUUCUUGCUGCCUUUUUGGAGAUGAGUAAAUUUUUGUAGGAGGGUGGGGCAGGUGAAAGUGACGGUAUUUAAGGGAAAAACCAAUUCCAGUUCGGGCUGCUCUUGUUGCUGUACCCGCCUUCUUCGACGCACGAUGUAGAAAUUAAAUCUUGUUGGACUUUUGUUGAAUGUACCGGGCAUUAAGAUUUUGAUUUUGGGAUCUGACAAGUCGUAUUCUAGGCCUAGGUUACUGGUCAGUAUGAUGUGCGUAAUUGAAUUAUAUCUGCAAAAAAACUAGUUGCUUAAGCGUGCAGGGUAAG